AACGAACGCUGGCGGCAGGCUUAACACAUGCAAGUCGAACGCCCGUAGCAAUACGGGAGUGGCGGACGGGUGAGUAACGCGUGGGAACGUGCCCUGAGGUACGGAAUAACUGCGGGAAACUGCAGCUAAUACCGUAUGAGCCCCGCAAGGGGGAAAGAUUUAUCGCCUUAGGAGCGGCCCGCGUAGGUUUAGCUAGUUGGUGGGGUAACGGCUUACCAAGGCUUCGAUCCGUAGCUGGUCUGGGAGGACGAGCAGCCACACUGGGACUGAGACACGGCCCAGACUCCUACGGGAGGCAGCAGUGGGGAAUCUUGCGCAAUGGGGGCAACCCUGACGCAGCCAUGCCGCGUGAAUAAUGAAGGCCUUAGGGUUGUAAAGUUCUUUUGCCCGUGACGAUGAUUACGGUAACGGGAGAAUAAGCUCCGGCUAACUUCGUGCCAGCCGCCGCAGUAAUAC
rnacentral:rRNA from 1 species